ACGGUGGCACAGAAUCGGAAGCCCCGACUGUUUACUAAAAACACAGAUCGCUGCAAUGAUUAAUAUCAUAGUAUAGCGGUCGAAAUUUGCCCGAUGCCAUUAAUAUAAGAGAGGUUAUGGGUAACUGUAACUAAUUGAAAGUCUGGUUAAUAGCGGUCUUAACUAUGAGGAUCCUAAGGUAGCAAAAUAAAUUGGCCAUUAAAUGUGGUCCGGUAUCAAUAAUUUAACGAUGGCUUCACUGUCUCUACAACUUGCUCAGUGAAAUUGAAUUACCCGUGCAGAUGCGGGUUACCUCCAGGGGGACGGGAAGACCCUAUGCAGCUU
rnacentral:rRNA from 1 species